GACGAACGCUGGCGGCGUGCUUAACACAUGCAAGUCGAACGGAAAGGCCCUUCGGGGUACUCGAGUGGCGAACGGGUGAGUAACACGUGGGUGAUCUGCCCUGCACUUUGGGAUAAGCCUGGGAAACUGGGUCUAAUACCGAAUAGGACCACGGGCUUCAUGGUCUGUGGUGGAAAGCUUUUGCGGUGUGGGAUGGGCCCGCGGCCUAUCAGCUUGUUGGUGGGGUAAUGGCCUACCAAGGCGACGACGGGUAGCCGGCCUGAGAGGGUGACCGGCCACACUGGGACUGAGAUACGGCCCAGACUCCUACGGGAGGCAGCAGUGGGGAAUCUUGCGCAAUGGGCGAAAGCCUGACGCAGCAACGCCGCGUGCGGGAUGACGGCCUUCGGGUUGUAAACCGCUUUCAGUGGGGACGAAAUCAGACGGUACCCACAGAAGAAGCCCCGGCCAACUACGUGCCAGCCGCCGCAGUAAAAC
rnacentral:rRNA from 1 species